GUUUUAAUAGCUUAUAAUUUUAGAGCAUAGCACUGAAGAUGCUAAGGAGAUAGUUAUAUCUUAAAACA
rnacentral:tRNA from 1 species